UACGUAGGGUGCAAGCGUUAUCCGGAAUUAUUGGGCGUAAAGAGCUCGUAGGCGGUUUGUCACGUCUGCUGUGAAAACUGGAGGCUCAACCUCCAGCCUGCAGUGGGUACGGGCAGACUAGAGUGCGGUAGGGGAGACUGGAAUUCCUGGUGUAGCGGUGAAAUGCGCAGAUAUCAGGAGGAACACCGGUGGCGGAAGGCGGGUCUCUGGGCCGUAACUGACGCUGGAGGAAGCGAAAGCCGUGGGGAGCGAACAGG
rnacentral:rRNA from 1 species